rnacentral:rRNA from 1 species
UCCGGUCGAUCCUGCCGGAAUCCGACGCUCUCCCCAAGGACACAAGCCAUGCAUGCCCGCGCACCCGGGAGGCGGCGGACGGCUCAGGACAACGGUUGCACCCCCCGCGGCGGUCCCUGCUAGCCGGACACCGCUGGCAACCCGGCGCCAAGACGUGCGCGCAAGGGCGGGCGCCCGCGGGCGAGCAGCGUGACGCAGCGACGGCCCGCCCGGGCUUCCGGGGCAUCACCC